rnacentral:tRNA from 1 species
GGCGAGAUGGCCGAGCGGUCUAAGGCGCUGGUUUAAGGCACCAGUCUCUUCGGAGGCGCGGGUUCGAAUCCCACUCUCGUCA